rnacentral:rRNA from 1 species
GACGAACGCUGGCGGCGUGCUUAACACAUGCAAGUCGAACGGAAAGGCCUUUUCGGAGGUACUCGAGUGGCGAACGGGUGAGUAACACGUGGGUGAUCUGCCCUGCACUCUGGGAUAAGCCUGGGAAACUGGGUCUAAUACCGGAUAGGACCGCACUUUAGGGGGUGUGGGGGAAAGUUUUUUCGGUGUAGGAUGAGCCCGCGGCCUAUCAGCUUGUUGGUGGGGUAAUGGCCUACCAAGGCGGCGACGGGUAGCCGGACUGAGAGGUUGGUCGGCCACAUUGGGACUGAGAUACGGCCCAGACUCCUACGGGAGGCAGCAGUGGGGAAUAUUGCACAAUGGGCGCAAGCCUGAUGCAGCGACGCCGCGUGGGGGAUGACGGCCUUCGGGUUGUAAACUCCUUUCGCCAGGGACGAAGCGUUUUGUGACGGUACCUGGAGAAGAAGCACCGGCUAACUACGUG